AUAUCCACUCUCAGAAUAAGUCCUCAUUACAUUUAUUGUCACACUAUUUAACAGAAUAGUGAGGACUACUAAUACUAUCAUCUGGACCGUCACUCCGUUCCCCGAUUAGUCCCGGCUACGUUCUCAUUUCCUGAAGAGAACAGUGAAAGAAAGGGUGAGCUCAACUAGCCCAGUAAGAAAUAUUAUGACUAAGAUAAUGCAGAAUAAAUUAUCAUUAGUCUUCAACAGUGUUAAACUAAUAAAAAAAAAUAGACAUCAAGUUUAACUGCAACGGAACAUGCAAUCCAUUAAAAAAGUCAAGUAGAGAAUAAAAUCUACUAUCUUUUAUGAUUUAAAAGGUUUUCAUCACUUUUAUCGCUGGGACUCAGCUUAAUAAAUAAUCCACAUCAUCCCUG
rnacentral:lncRNA from 1 species